UAUUUGCAAAAAUAUUCCUCCCUUUCCAAUGUUCAUUUCCCCGCCCUUUGAUUCUCACACAGCCUAUGUUGAGUUCGUUCUCAUCUACGUGGCUUCGUUUCUUCCCGAACCUUCUCACCUACGUUUCUUCCCCAACACCGCUCACCCCAAAAGCACCACCUUGUCGUGGCUGCCAUAUCCACCCCCACUCGCGUUUCUCUCCCCCCGCGUGACUGAAGCCGUCUCCUACUGCUAGAAGCCCCCGUGUUUCUCCGACUCGCCCACUUCUGGAAGACGCCCAACCGCCUCAUCUCCUCUCCUCUCCUACGCGCACUGCCGCCGUCUAUGGCUCUCCUCCCACCGGCCACUGCUAGCGAUACGAUUUCACUUGGAGCUAGUGAGGAGUGUAGCGAUCGAAAUUAAUAGCCCCGUUGAUAUUGCCAUAUGAUUCAACUUGGAGCUAGUGAGUUGGGCUAUGGCUGUGGAUUAGUCGGCGAAGAAAAGUUGGAAAAAAACAUUGAUUGGUUGUUGUUGCAUGUUCCGACUUCCGAGUCACUCGCCACUCGCACUAGACAGCUCUUUCUGGUGCUCAGGUCACGUUAACAAAUCUUCCUGAUAGGCUAAGGCUUCUGUAAAAGAACGUCGACACCAAUUUAGAUUCUAUUGAUAUAUUGGGUUCGGGAAUGGUCAGUGAACUCAUAUGGGAAGAAGGUCCCGACCCUAACAUACUUGAUCCAUUGCCAGAUUAUGAACUCUGAAUGUGUGAUGAAGGAAAUAAGUGGACGUGCUCUAAACAAAUCAAGAUCACAAUUAUGGAAAUCAGUGAUGUGUACGCAACAAAGAGGCAAUCAAGAAUGUGGCUACUACGUGAUGAGGUUUAUGUACGAUAUAGUCACAUGUUGCUCAGAAGUUGAGGAUCUCGAGAAGGAAUUCAUGAACAAACUAAAGGAGCGUUCCUUCACGACUGAUGAAAUAAAAUGUGUUUGAGACAAGUUGGCACGAUUUAUUACCAAUGAAUGUUUUUUAUUGUUCGCGUUUUUAGCAUUAUAAUGAAUCUAAUAUUGUAAUUAGCUACCUUUUUCCAUUAACAAUUUAGAUACAAUAGGUUUUCUCCCGUUGUUGGAUAUUUAUUUUGAUUUUUUUUUUCACUUGUGUUAUUGAAUGGUGUAAGGAUGAGAUAAGGGCAUGUUUAUUGGUGUAUAGUAUAUACGUUGUGUUUGAUUGA